rnacentral:rRNA from 1 species
AUUGAACGCUGGCGGCAGGCUUAACACAUGCAAGUCGAGCGGUAGCACAGGGGAGCUUGCUCCCUGGGUGACGAGCGGCGGACGGGUGAGUAAUGUCUGGGAAACUGCCUGAUGGAGGGGGAUAACUACUGGAAACGGUAGCUAAUACCGCAUAACGUCGCAAGACCAAAGAGGGGGACCUUCGGGCCUCUUGCCAUCAGAUGUGCCCAGAUGGGAUUAGCUAGUAGGUGGGGUAAUGGCUCACCUAGGCGACGAUCCCUAGCUGGUCUGAGAGGAUGACCAGCCACACUGGAACUGAGACACGGUCCAGACUCCUACGGGAGGCAGCAGUGGGGAAUAUUGCACAAUGGGCGCAAGCCUGAUGCAGCCAUGCCGCGUGUGUGAAGAAGGCCUUCGGGUUGUAAAGCACUUUCAGCGAGGAGGUAGGUGGUGAGCUUAAUACGUUCAUCAAUUGACGUUACUCGCAGAAGAAGCACCGGCUAACUCCGUG